CUACGUGCCAGCAGCCGCGGUAAUACGUAGGGCGCGAGCGUUGUCCGGAAUUAUUGGGCGUAAAGAGCUUGUAGGCGGUUUGUCGCGUCUGCUGUGAAAGGCCGGGGCUUAACCCCGUGUAUUGCAGUGGGUACGGGCAGACUAGAGUGCAGUAGGGGAGACUGGAAUUCCUGGUGUAGCGGUGGAAUGCAUAGAUAUCACGCAGAACUCCGAUUGCGAAGGCAGCUUACUAAGGUACAACUGACGCUGAAGCACGAAAGCGUGGGUAUCAAACAGGAUUAGAUACCCUGGUAGUCCACGCAGUAAACGAUGAUAACUGGGCGUAUGCGAUAUACAGUAUGCUCCUAAGCGAAAGCGUUAAGUUAUCCACCUGGGGAGUACGCCGGCAACGGUGAAACUCAAAGGAAUUGACGGGGGCCCGCACAAGCGGAGGAACAUGUGGUUUAAUUCGAUGAUACGCGAGGAACCUUACCCGGGAUUGAA
rnacentral:rRNA from 1 species